rnacentral:lncRNA from 1 species
AUUGUAUGAUUUACACCUAUGCCUAAGUUGUGCAUGUAAGGAGUUUGAUAAAAUACCUAAGAGACUAGAAAUCAUGCAUUAUAGCUAAAUUGUGACUAAGUGAAGGAUUCAUGAUAUGCAACCAUAUUCCAAUGAUUUUCAUGUUGAUAUUGUGUCUUGUAAAUGUUGUUGGGAUGUUCAUGAACUAGUCUUAUGAGAUUAUGCCAUGCGUACUUGCAAAUCCUACUUAUGUACAAAAUGUAUGAUAUCCAUGCACUUCAUGGAAUUCCCCAAGUUAUGAUAUUAUGGG